rnacentral:rRNA from 1 species
GACGAACGCUGGCGGCAUGCCUAAUACAUGCAAGUCGAGCGAACAGAUGAAGUGCUUGCACUUCUGACGUUAGCGGCGAACGGGUGAGCAACACGUAAGGAAUCUACCUAUAAGCGGGGGAUAACAUUCGGAAACGGGUGCUAAUACCGCAUAAUAUCUUCUUCCGCAUGGAAGAAGAUUGAAAGACGGCUCUGCUGUCACUUAUAGAUGACCUUGCGGUGCAUUAGUUAGUUGGUGGGGUAACGGCCUACCAAGACGAUGAUGCAUAGCCGACCUGAGAGGGUGAGCGGCCACAUUGGGACUGAGACACGGCCCAAACUCAUACGGGAGGCAGCAGUAGGGAAUCUUCCGCAAUGGGCGAAAGCCUGACGGAGCAAUGCCGCGUGAGUGAAGAAGGCCUACGGGUCGUAAAACUCUGUUAUAAGAGAAGAACAAAUUGUAGAGUAACUGCUACAGUCUUGACGGUAUCUUAUCAGAAAGCCACGGCUAACUACGUGCCAGCCGCCGCCGUAA